rnacentral:rRNA from 1 species
UUUACCUACGGGGGGCAGCAGUGGGGAAUAUUGCACAAUGGGGGAAACCCUGAUGCAGCAACGCCGCGUGAGUGAAGAAGUCAUUCGUGAUGUAAAGCUCUAUCAGCAGGGAAGAAAAUGACGGUACCUGAGUAAGAAGCCCCGGCUAACUACGUGCCAGCAGCCGCGGUAAUACGUAGGGGGCAAGCGUUAUCCGGAUUUACUGGGUGUAAAGGGAGCGCAGGCGGCGCGUUAAGCCUGGUGUGAAAGCCCGCGGCCCAACCGCGGGACUGCAUUGGGAACUGGCGCGCUGGAGUGCCGGAGGG